AUACGGAGGUGGCUAGCGUUGUUCGGAAUUACUGGGCGUAAAGGGCGCGUAGGCGGCAUGGCAAGUCAGAUGUGAAAGCCCCGGGCUUAACUUGGGAAUUGCAUCUGAAACUGUUUUGCUUGAGUCCUGGAGGGGGUAGUGGAAUUCCCAGUGUAGCGGUGAAAUGCGUAGAUAUUGGGAGGAACACCGGUGGCGAAGGCGGCUACCUGGACAGUGACUGACGCUGAGGCGCGAAAGCUAGGGGAGCGAACG
rnacentral:rRNA from 1 species